GAUCAAGCUACUAAGAGCAUGUGGUAGAUGCCUUGGUGCCAAGAGGCGAUGAAGGACGUGGUUAGCUGCGAAAAGCUUCGGGGAGCCGCUAAGCAGGCUUUGAUCCGGAGAUUUCCGAAUGGGGCAACCCAUUCCGAGUAAUGUCGGAAUAUUCCGCAGGUGAAUACAUAGCCAGUGGAAGGCGAACGAGAGGAACUGAAACAUCUAAGUACUCUCAGGAAAAGAAAGAAAUUCGAUUCCCAAAGUAGUGGCGAGCGAAAUGGGAAGAGCCUAAACCAAAUAUACUUAUAGUCCGUGAGCGUUGUAUAUUUGGGGUUGUAGGAUAAUAUUGGAGGUUUUUACGGAAACCUCGGGAAGUUACAAAGCUGUUCUAUAGCAAAAUAACAUGGAAAGGUUAACCAUAGCGGGUGAUAGUCCUUUAUGCGAAAUAGAAUAACCUUCCUGGAUAUUAUCCUGAGUACCACGGGACACGUGGAAUCUUGUGGGAAGAUAGGGGGACCAUCCCCAAAGGCUAAAUACUACUUGGCGACCGAUAGUGUACAAGUACCGUGAGGGAAAGGUGAAAAGAACCCCGUUGAGGGGAGUGAAAUAGUACCUGAAACCGCAUGCUUACAUGUAGUGGUAGUUCCGUAGCAAUACGGAAUAACCGCGUACCUUUUGCAUAAUGGGUCAGUGAGUUACUCUAUGUUGCGAGGUUAAGCCGUUAGGUGUAGCCGGAGCGAAAGCGAGUCCGAAAAGGGCGAUUAGUUGCAUGGAGUAGACCCGAAACCAGGUGAUCUAUCCAUGGCCAGGAUGAAUCCCGAGUAAUAUCGGAAAGAGGUCCGAACCCACUCAGGUUGAAAACUGAGGGGAUGAGCUGUGGAUCGGAGUGAAAGGCUAAACAAACCUGGAAAUAGCUGGUUCUCCCCGAAAUAUAUUUAGGUAUAGCCUUCCGUGAUCGGUUAUGGAGGUAGAGCACUGAAUGGGCUAGGGCUCCUACAAGGGUACCAAACCCAACCAAACUCCGAAUGCCAUAACCCAAAAUGGAGGAGACAGACUGCGGGUGAUAAGAUCCGUAGUCGAGAGGGAAACAGCCCAGACCAUCAGCUAAGGUCCCUAAAAUGUGCUAAGUGGAAAAGGAUGUGGGUCCACUAAAACAGCCAGGAGGUUGGCUUAGAAGCAGCCACCCUUUAAAGAAAGCGUAACAGCUCACUGGUCUAGCAGGCCUGCGCCGAAAAUGUAACGGGGCUAAGCACAUUACCGAAGCUAUGGAUCAUUCCGUAUAUCGGAAUGGUGGUAGGGGAGCAUUCUGCUUACCUGUGAAGGUGUCUCGUGAGGGAUGCUGGAGGACGCAGAAGAGAGUAUGCUGACAUGAGUAGCGAUAAUGCCGGUGAAAAACCGGCACGCCGUAAGCCCAAGGUUUCCUGAGCAAGGGUAAUCCUCUCAGGGUUAGUCGGUCCCUAAGGCGAGGCCGAAAGGCGUAGUUGAUGGGAAACAGGUUAAUAUUCCUGUACCACCAGGUAGGUGAUAAAGACGCGAAGGGGGGACGGAGAAGGGUAGGCCAUCCUGCUGACGGAAUAGCAGGUUCAAGCCCGUAGAGGGGUUCCACAGGCAAAUCCAUGGAACCAUAACCUCGAGAAGUGAUGAGGAGUCCGCUUGCGGACACAAACUGGCUAAUCCCAUGCUUCCAAGAAAAGCCUCGUAGCGAAUCUAUUUGGUGACCGUACCGCAAACCGACACAGGUGGGCAAGGAGAGAAUCCUAAGGCGCUUGAGAUAACUCUGGUUAAGGAACUUUGCAAAAUUACACCGUAACUUAGGGAGAAGGUGUAUUCUGGUGCGUGUAAGAACUUGCUUCUGAAGCGUUCUGGAAUCGCAGUGAAGAGGGAGUGACGACUGUUUACUAAAAACAUAGGACUCUGCAAACUCGUAAGAGGAUGUAUAGGGUCUGACGCCUGCCCGGUGCUGGAAGGUUAAGGGGAGAUGUUAUUCAAGGAAACGAGGAGAAGCAUUGAACCGAAGCCCCAGUAAACGGCGGCCGUAACUAUAACGGUCCUAAGGUAGCGAAAUUCCUUGUCGGGUAAGUUCCGACCUGCAUGAAUGGCGUAACGAUUGCUCCGCUGUCUCAACCAGGGACUCAGCGAAAUUAUAAUGGGGGUGAAGAUACCCUCACCCCGCGGCAAGACGGAAAGACCCCGUGAACCUUUACUAUAGCUUGACAGUGAACUUCGGAAUAUCAUGUGUAGGAUAGGUGGGAGGCUAUGAAGCGUUGGCGCAAGCUGGCGCAGAGCCAACCUUGAAAUACCACCCUUGUUGUUUUGAGGUUCUAACUCAGGUCCCUUAAUCGGGAUCGAGGACAUUGUCUGGUGGGUAGUUUGACUGGGGCGGUCGCCUCCAAAAAUGUAACGGAGGCGCACGAAGGUCGGCUCAGGCUGAUUGGAAACCAGCCGAUGAGUGCAAAGGCAUAAGCCGGCUUGACUGUGAGACCUACAAGUCGAGCAGGAACGAAAGUUGGUCUUAGUGAUCCGGUGGUUCCAUAUGGAAGGGCCAUCGCUCAACGGAUAAAAGGUACUCCGGGGAUAACAGGCUUAUCUCCCCCAAGAGUUCAUAUCGACGGGGAGGUUUGGCACCUCGAUGUCGGCUCAUCGCAUCCUGGGGCUGAAGUAGGUCCCAAGGGUUUGGCUGUUCGCCAAUUAAAGCGGUACGUGAGCUGGGUUUAGAACGUCGUGAGACAGUUCGGUCCCUAUCUGCCGUGGGCGCAGGACAAUUGAGAGGAGCUGUCCCUAGUACGAGAGGACCGGGAUGGACGAACCUCUAGUGCACCAGUUGUCACGCCAGUGGCAUAGCUGGUUAGCUAUGUUCGGAAGAGAUAACCACUGAAAGCAUCUAAGUGGGAAGCUCGCCUCAAGAAUAGUUGUCCCGUCUGGUAGCAAUACCGGGCUAAGAUCCCAGAAAGACGAUCUGGUUGAUAGGCCGAUGGUGUAAGCACAGCGAUGUGUUGAGCCUAACGGUACUAAUAGAUCGAGAGGCUUGAUCAU
rnacentral:rRNA from 1 species